AAUAUCCUUUUAACAAAUUAUGCGUAUUUAAGAAGAUAGGGCUGCGCAUGCGCAGAACGUAUCUCCUUACCUUUGCACUUUUUGGUAAGAAGAUGUUAGUAAAAGUUGUUCGUGUUGAUGAGGGCUACAACUUUGCUUAAUAUCCUUUUAACAAAUUAUGCGUAUUUAAGGAGAUAGCGCAGCGCAUGCGCAGAACGUAUCUCCUUACCUUUGCACUUUUUGGUAAGAAGAUGUU
rnacentral:miRNA from 1 species